AACGAACGCUGGCGGCGCGCCUAAUACAUGCAAGUCGAGCGAGAAGACGUAGCAAUACGUUUGUAAAGCGGCGAACGGGUGAGGAAUACAUGGGUAACCUACCCUCGAGUGGGGAAUAACUAGCCGAAAGGUUAGCUAAUACCGCGUACGCUCCUUGGACUUCGGUUCAGGGAGGAAAGCGAUACCGCGGGUAUCGCGCUCUUGGAUGGGCUCAUGUCCUAUCAGCUUGUUGGUGAGGUAACGGCUCACCAAGGCUUCGACGGGUAGCUGGCCUGAGAGGACGAUCAGCCACACUGGCACUGCGACACGGGCCAGACUCCUACGGGAGGCAGCAGUAAGGAAUAUUGCGCAAUGGGCGAAAGCCUGACGCAGCGACGCCGCGUGGGGGAUGAAGGUCUUCGGAUUGUAAACCCCUUUCGGGAGGGAAGA
rnacentral:rRNA from 1 species